AUGGACUACUUCAAGUCAGAGCCUCAAAAGCAGAUUGUAAUUAUUACUUGCUCCAUUUUAUACGUGACAAAAAGUACCCAUAAAGGGAUUAAGGGGUUUUGCUCAAAGCAGCAAAUCAAAAGGGCUGCUGCAGUUUGCUGGCGAUCCACUCUACAUCCUCUUGCACCUGGAAGUAUCACCAGUAGAGGCUGCAGAACAACAAACAUAGCUGUGUGCUCCUUAUUCUGGAAGUUCCAUCCCAGAGGGGCACCGACCUGAUGCCUGUUGGAACUCUCCUGCUUGAGGUGUCUGGUUACCCCUGUUGGGGAUCUCACCCAGUCAGGAAGCAUGGGAUCAGAGACCUGCUUAACAAAGCACUCUGACUGCCCCUGGGGAUAAUGGGUGCACUGUGCUGGGGGGAAUAUCACUCAUCUAGACUACCCAGCCUCCUCAGAGCCAGCAGGUGGGAAAGAUUAAGUCUGCUGAACCAGAUACCACAGCCACCCCUUCCCCCAGGUACUCCAUCCCAGGGAGAUCAGAAUUCUCUCCAUAAACCCCUGGCUGGAGUUGCUGAAAUUCCCACAGGGAGACCCCACUUGGUGAGAAAGGAUGGAUCCAGGUCCCACCUAAAGAGGUAGUCUGGCCACAAUCUGCCACAGCUGCUGUGUUGCACUUUGGGGAAUUCCUCCCACUAAAAACCGCCCAGCCUUCCUGCACCGGAUCAGAAAAUGACUGACUGGAGUCACAGUGAUGGCAGCCGCCCCUCCCCACUGGUAACUCGGUCGUCUUAGGCUGUCUCCA
rnacentral:lncRNA from 1 species